GUUUCCUGAAUAAACGGCAGAAAGAAGAGCUCAGUGUUGUGUCUUCCUUGCUGGUCGAGGUGGUCGCAACAGCUGGGGACUAGAAUUUGAAAAAUGUUUCUGAAGAGACAGAAUCAGACCAAUGUUAGACAGUAGUUUAGAACUGGGGCCUAGAGGUUCUGAUUAUCCUUUGCAGCAUUUUUACUUAAAAGAUCACACACAACAAGACAGAAAUAAUCAGGGUAAUGAAGAGCCAAGGAAGUUGUUCUGUGAAAGAGAAAGGGGCUGAAGACAUGAAUGAUGAAACAGACUGGUGAUACCAUCAUCAUCAGAAAAAAUGCCCUCACGGAAAAAACAGUAGCAGAGAUCUAAUGAUCGAGGUGUUCCAUCCUUCAUCACAGUAUAGCUGAUGUUUGCCUUGAAGACAAAAUACUCUUGAGGAAAAGUCCAAGAAUCCAGUAGUUACUGAAGCCAUGAAGAUGGAUGGAACAGGUGGUCUUCAGUAUGCAACAGAAUCCAGUAAAAGUAAGCCCCAACACUAGUGAGAAAAAUGAACUUGCCAGAGAAAACAAGAGCAAGCAGGCAAAGAGCAAAUACUUCCUUCUUCUAUGACAUCCAUACAUGCCAGAAGAUGUGUCCUAAUUUUAAGAUGCAAAGCAACCCAUAUACCAAGGAAAAGACUAAGUAAAACAUCAAAUAUUGCAGUUCCCCAUGGCCAAAGGAACCAUUUAUAAAUCCAGGCUCUUCAGGCUAAAGUUUGGUUCAGAUGAAGAUUGGAUAUGUCCAGUGUUAAUUCCUUAUGUUGAUGAUAAAAUAUCACCAUCUCAGGAAUAAACAGAAUAUGCUUUCUGUUG